ensembl:misc_RNA 7SK 7SK RNA
GGAUGUGAGACCCAUCUGGCUGUGACACCUGUCACCCCAUUGAUUGCCAGGGUUGAUUCGGUUGAUCUGGCUGGCUAGGCGGGUGUCCCCUUCCUCCCUCACCACUCCAUGUGCUUCUCUCCAGAAGCCACAUGCUCAGUCAAAGAGGAGACAGACCAGUCUUCAGUUGAGGGUAUACGAGUAGCUGCUCUCCCCUGCUAGAACCUCCUAACAAGCUCUCAAGAGUGUCUUGCUAACAGGCCCACUUUAUAAUGGCCUUUUUGGCCAACAUCACAAUACCUCAUCACUUGGGACCCUAGUUAGGGAAUCCUUGGAU